AGCCUUACCUUCAUUUAAAAAAAAAAAGUAGCUGCCAAGGCUACCAAUGCGAAAAUUACAAAAAUAUAUACUUGCUUCGGCAUGUGCGAGUGUUCUUUAUAAUCCCGUAUUGGGUGUCAAUUACGCUCGCGACUCCGCGAAACAAAUGGAAACACAAACAUCCUCGUCUCGGAAACAUAUGCAACAAUCGCGCAUUUCGAGCAUUUGUUAUCUGUCCUUCGCGAAUGCAGUAUUUACUCUGUGUGGCGUGUACCGACUGUUUAAUGGCGUGUCUAGUUUAAAAUGUUUAUUUGUUGAAAAAAUAUUGUGGAAUCAUCGAGUGAGCCAAUUAAGUAUAUACUCGAAUUUAGCCAUGCCUCUUUAUUUUUUAUGAAGGCGUAUUUAUUUUUAUUCCUUCUAAGCAAAAGAUUCUUUUUUAUGACACUUUUCCUUAAUUUCAAGAAUCCACAUUGAUGAGUCAAGAGACUUAUUACGCAGAAGACACAAAAGUUAUAACAGGGGCAACCACGCAAAUCUUUUGCAGAACUGUAUCAAUGUGGCAAAAGAAAGAGGACAGAAGAUAUGAGGGUCAACUUAGAAGCGGAAGAACUACAAUAUGCAGCAGAGUCUAAGUUCAGAAUGUCUGGACAAUUAGGUGCAUCUAAGCUAAUAAGGGAAAUUGGAGAAUCUUCAGAUCGGUAAACCUGAUUGUUAUCCGAAGGAAGAAGCGUUUUGAAUUACGGAUACCUCUGCGGAAGUAAACAUACAAGACCUGCUGGACCACACAGAGAAAAAGAUAAUGAAAUAUUUAGAAGAUGAAUUGUUUAUAUUAGAAGAAAAUGAACAUGACCUAGAGCUAAUUAGUAAAUGGGGGUGUGACGGAUCCCAACAGUCGGAAUAUAAGCAAAAAUCUCAAAAUAAAGAAGAUUCGAAUGCUCAAUUAUUUCAAAUAACAAUGGAGUCAUUGCGCUUGAUUUGUGGAAAGAAAAUUAUAUGACAAAAUCCGCUUCCGUCAUUGCCAUACUAUUGCCGCCCAAUCAGAAUCAAAUUUGAGCAGGAAACACCUGAUGUUAUUAGAUUUGAAAUAGAUUAUAUGCAGAAACAAAUCGACCAAUUAAUUAAGACUCAAAUAGAAGAAUCUCCAAUAUGUAUAAAACAUACCCUUACUUUAACAAUAGUCGAUGGUAAGGUAUGUAAACGCUGCUACUAACACGGUAUCGACCAUGAAGUGUUACAUAUGCGGAACAACAUCAAAAGAUUUUAAUAACCUU